rnacentral:snRNA from 1 species
UCUACUUCUCGGCCUUUUGGCUAAGAUCAAGUGUAGUAUCUUCUUGUCUUGCUCUCAGGUGCCUUGGAGAACAGGUUGUACCUCUCUUCUUUGUGGCAGCCCCUCAAAUAUUGGAAAACUGUUCUCAAGUCUUUAUUUAUUUUUUAAUUAACUUACCUUUU